rnacentral:misc_RNA from 1 species
AUGCUUGAACGGAACGGAGUCAAGUCAACGGAACCGGGUCGGUCAAACAACUAGGUACCUACCUAAUAUACUUGGUCUGUGCGAGAAACUGAGAAACGGAUCGGAUAAAUCAAAUCGUUUUUUUACAUCAUCGUGCUAAGCUACUGAAACAAAUUAAGGAUUAAUGGAUUUUAGACCUCUAUUUAAGGCGUAAUACACAUAAAUUGUGCAGUAAUUGUGAUAUUUUUUAAUAUUUUAAUUAAAACUAGUUAAAUGUCUACUCUAGAAAGAAUUGAAUUGAAGUUAACCUUCAAGUUUAUUAUGGUAUGGCGCUAUGAAUGCUAAGGUUUGUGUGAAUUGUGGAAAUAAGAAUCCUGUGAACGGAAUAGACAAUCGUUUGGUGACUGAAAGCUGCGGUCAUGUAAAAUGUAUGCAAUGCUUGCUUCUGGAAACUACUGGUUGCGACGCAUGUAAGAAAAACAAUGGACAUAAGGAUUUUGAUAGUAUCGAAGUCUCCGGAAAUGGUGUAAAAUCUACUGGUGAAGAAACUGAUCCAUCAGAGACGCUGCUAGACGUUACUAAGGGAAGCCACGGUAUAAAUAAUACUAAAUUGGAAAUAUCACAUAUUACAGUAGAAUCAGAUGCCAGUGCCAAACGCUAUACGUGUACAAUUUGCAAAAAGAAGUUCAAUGCACGAAGUCAAGUGAAGUACCAUGCAUACUGCAACGGUCAGCCAAAGCCGUUUCCAUGUCCUAGUUGCAAUGAGGUAUGUAAAGUAAUCAACUUAGAAGUUGAAGAAAACCGCAUGACAGAAACGCUGUUAUUGUCAUUAUACCACCCAAUCAAGAGUUUCGUAACACAUUCACACUUUGAGUACCACAUGCGGCGGCACCUCGAAGACCGACGUUUCGCGUGUGAAUUCUGUGACAAGACCUUCAUGCAGAAGUCUAACCUACAGCGACAUCGACUAAGGCAUACAAAGGAGAGAAAUCAUCCGUGCAAGCAAUGUGGGAAGACGUUCAACAACAGAUCGGCGUUGCGGAAACACACGCUCUUGCACACUGACGAGCGACCCUACCGUUGUAAAACCUGCGGACUCAAAUUCCGGGACUCCUCAAACUACAGGAAACAUGUCAAAAAACAUGAACGCGAGAAGUAUACAUGCGCGACCUGCGGACGCGCGACGGUGACGACGCGCGCAUGCGCCGACCACGCGCCGGCGCCCGAGGAACGCAAGUACAAGUGCCCGCAGCCGGACUGCACGCAGGCCUUCUACUUGCGCAAGGAUCUGCGCAGACAUGAACAGGUCCAUACAGAUACGAAGCCGUACGCAUGUACGACGUGUCCGGGGCGGUUCCGUCGGAAGGACAACUUGGACAGACACAUGCGCACUACGCACGGGGAGCGAGAGCCCGACGCGGCACCAGCACCCGCUGCCACACAGAAGAAAGUAUCGGUAAAACCGGACGAUCCCCCCAACAACACUCGCGAGGAAGAAUGCGAAAAGGCGAAACUGGAAGAGCUUAACCCGUUACCCCCACUACCAGAAGCAGAGCUGCAGAAACAUCUAUACACACAGAAGAGCCAGGUCAAAGAAAGACAGAAGGAGGAACCUAUUAUGGACAAAACAUCAAUAAUGGAAGCGAACAACGCUAGAGAGAGUGUCAUUGUGGGUAACUUCUUAGACAGGAAAAUAGCCAGCCCAAUACCAGAGUACGUCCAUAAAAUCAGAAAGGCCAACUCUUUGAGUUGCCGUAGACAAGUUCCACUGCCUCCAAUGGACGAGAGAAAGUUUAUAGAGCUAGCGGCUAAGGACAGAAACAACUUGGACAUUGGACCAUUGCCAAAGAACAUACAACCGUACAAGAACAUUCUAGAAGAGGAAAAGGUUCCAGAGGUGCACUGGAAGAAAAGACUGAAUGAUAACGAAUGAAGUCUAAGACUGAUGGCUUAGUUGGUAAGGUACUUGGUAAGAUAUUUAUAUUUUAAAUUAUUCUUGUGUAUACUUAGUGUAACUGAUGUUACAUAUGCAAAGUUGAAUGUAAAACAUAUGAUUAAGAUGUAAGGGGCAAUCAGUCAAUAAUAUGCUCAAAAUAAUACAGGGUGUUAGUGUCACCGUACCGAAUACUAGGGGAUGGUUCAGCUCACGAUUCUCGAGUUAAGUAUCAAGUGGAACUUUCCGUCACAAAUAAAACACUAACAGUGUUACUACAAAACACAAACUAAAAAUAAACUAGGUUUUAAAUAGUAUUUCGCGCCACGAAAGAAGUCUGCGGAUUUUAAUGAAAUUAACUUGACAAGUCAUAAUAAUUCUAUGCAGAAUCUGCGACAGUAGCGCCGCGGCCUUCGGGACUUCUAUCGUAUACGGAUUAUAUUUGAACAUAGUUUAUCAAAAUCAUGAGUUGAAUCAUCCCCUCAGUAUUCGAUAAGGUGUCACUAACGCCCAUACAAAUAUGUUAGGGCGUCUAAGACGCGUAUCGAUUUGUGUUUUAGCUUAAUCACAGAAUAAAGAAUGAUACUUCAAAUAGAACGCUGUCUCCACCCCGCACCGAUUGUUAUUGGGCGCCAACCUCUCCCCCUCUGGGUCUUGACGUGACUUAUUGUAGAUUUGCCUCACAUGGCAUAGAUAACUUGGCCGGACAAAUGGGGACGACUGAAGGCUCUCACCCGGUACAAAAUUCAAGACAACGGGGCAGAGGGUGUCCAGUUGGGGUGUAGCCCACUAUUUAAAUUACGAAUUUCCAUUGAUGGAAAUACUGGGACACAUUCUCCCACUAUUUCAAAAAAAAAAAAAAAACGCUGCGUCACCUCUUACUUAUGACUGCGUGCGCAUAGACACUAUUUAUUUCCUCUUUAGAUAAAAUCUCGUACAUAGUAGCAAUUGACUGUUAUUAAAGAGGAAAAAGAUUCUCAAAAAAAAAAACGCAGUUGUGUUAAACUGUGUUUUUCUGCCGCAAUGGGAAUAAUGGGAUAUAAUUUAGAAGAAACGACAGUGCCAUUAUUUCCCUUUUGUAUUUCCGUGGAAAUAGUGGGAUACACCGUCCAGUUGGGCACUUACCUCGGCCCAGGGCGUAGUCUGAUCGAUAUGCGCGGAAUGAGGGAAACUGUCGGCCACCCUGGCGCGGUCGUAUCAGGGUCAGAAGAGGGUUAAAUGACCGUGAGCCUCUAAGGAGCAAGGGAAAGUGCUCAGACUGUGCUCUCGCUCGCAAAUACGCGUUUGGCAGCAUAUGGUAAGAAUUUUUGUAUGGAAGUCCGUUGGGAAGGAAAUUCCCAGUAGUUCAACUGUUAACUACUCGGUAAGACUACUGCGAAUACGGGGAAUGUUCGGUGUGUGGCUUAAAUUAACCAUUAUGAAGCAACAAAAUAUUCACAAUGUUAGUUCGAACGGCUUUUAUACUUUUCCAUUCCCUUCCAUACAUUUUCGAUUUAGUACCAAUGUUUGCCAACGGCGCUCUUUUUUGUAGUUUGGGUAGGGGCUUUGGUGUGUUGUUACACUAUUUCGCCAUGGAGUAACUAGAUGUCGCUAGCCGUAUAAGUUCACACAUGGAAGUGAGUGACAUCUAGUGGCAGUUUGUCGUAUCAUAAACACUUUAGUACAAAUGCUUCCCACUGGCUCCAUUUACCUAUGGCGUGGGACCGUCUGUUCACAUAGUACCUAUAUUAGUUACUCCAUGCUAUUACAAAAUGAGGAGUUUUUCAGUAGAUAUAGUAAUUUUAGUUCUUUCAAUGAUAAAGAUAUGGCGAUUAAGUCACUUUUGGAAGUUUAUUCAAAGAAAUAAAUAAAAACGAAAUGGAUCAGUCCAUUUAUUUCCAUCAUUGACUAUAAAUGAUGAUGAAUGACAGUUUCAUUUAUGUUGUUUAUUUAUAAGAAGUAUUUAAUAUGAAAAUCCAAAUAUAUGGCAUGCCAUACAAAGUUUUACUAAAGCUAUGUGAACGCCAUCUCUGUAUAAUGAUGGAACUAACUGGAAAACUGCUCAUUAUCAUAGUAAUUUAAAAUUGACAUAUCCGCCCUUCAUACACACAGGCAGCGGGGGCGUUUCGGGUCGGGAAUAUUUUGUAGGUAAUGUUCGAGUUUGUAUGUUCAAUUUACCGCGCGGUGCGUUGUCAUACAGUCAUGAGCAAUAUUAUGUACCCACUUUAGGACUCUAUCGCACUAACAUAUUUGACAUUUAGUGAGACUUACGGUUCAAUUUGUCAAGAAAGUUAAUGUGACAUGGUACCAAAGUGUAUAGGUACAUAUUAAUGCUCGUGACCGUACACGCACAUACAGAUUAAUAUUGAAACUUGUUAAGUAAAACCCCGAGAUAAUGAAUUUGUGCUGAACACACCUCGUGGUCUUACUAAGUCUGAUGCAGAAGUUGCGCAAGAAUUUUUAAAUUACUUUAUUCCAAUUGCAACUACAAUUGAAACACUCGCUCCCCGGCCAGCAACGCGGUACCGCUUGUGUGUAGAGAGUAGUAAUGGGCGAUUUAAUGAUUCAUUCGAAAGUAUUCGAAUUAUUCGGUUGUCCCAAAGAAAACAUUUGAAUGAAUAAAAACAAUCGAAUAAACGGUCAUUCGAAUGAUUUUUCAUCGUGCACAUGAAUUGAAAUUUAAUAAUAAAAUGAAACUACUCAGUAGAACGCUAAAAUAUUAUAUAUGUGUUAUUUAAAUUCAAAACUGUGAUGUUGCACUCGUUACGUAAACAUAAAAUCAUUCCAAUUAAUUAUUUCGGUUAAAAAUCAUUCGAAUGACUAUUUUUUUAUUCGACAAAUGAUCUUUCGAAUACCGUAUACGGGAAUAAUUAUGUUAUUUUUUAGAACAAUCGCCCAUCGCUAGUCAUAGAUAGUGGAUAGAUUCAUUGUCUUUGAUCUCAUACAGCAGUUAUAUAACCCAUUUCUGUGCCCAUUGAACUUGGCCACAUGAUGUAUUAUUGUGAUAUUUUUUAUUUUAAUAAAUUAGAUAUUAAUA